rnacentral:rRNA from 1 species
GACGAACGCUGGCGGCGUGCUUAACACAUGCAAGUCGAACGGAAAGGCCCUGCUUUUGUGGGGUGCUCGAGUGGCGAACGGGUGAGUAACACGUGAGUAACCUGCCCUUGACUUUGGGAUAACUUCAGGAAACUGGGGCUAAUACCGGAUAGGAGCUCCUGCUGCAUGGUGGGGGUUGGAAAGUUUCGGCGGUGGGGGAUGGACUCGCGGCUUAUCAGCUUGUUGGUGGGGUAGUGGCUUACCAAGGCUUUGACGGGUAGCCGGCCUGAGAGGGUGACCGGCCACAUUGGGACUGAGAUACGGACCAGACUCCUACGGGAGGCAGCAGUGGGGAAUAUUGCACAAUGGGCGGAAGCCUGAGGCAGCAACGCCGCGUGCGGGAUGACGGCCUUCGGGUUGUAAACCGCUUUCGCCUGUGACGAAGCGUGAGUGACGGUAAUGGGUAAAGAAGCACCGGCUAACUACGUG